rnacentral:rRNA from 1 species
UACGUAGGGGGCAAGCGUUAUCCGGAUUUACUGGGUGUAAAGGGAGCGUAGACGGCGAUGCAAGUCUGAAGUGAAAGGCGGAGGCCCAACCCCCGGACUGCUUUGGAAACUGUAUGGCUGGAGUGCAGGAGAGGUAAGUGGAAUUCCUAGUGUAGCGGUGAAAUGCGUAGAUAUUAGGAGGAACACCAGUGGCGAAGGCGGCUUACUGGACUGUAACUGACGUUGAGGCUCGAAAGCGUGGGGAGCAAACAGG